rnacentral:misc_RNA from 1 species
GAAAUUUCUCCCUUCUCACACCAAGACCCCACUAAUGUUUCACUUACAUGUCCUUUCAAAAGACCUUUAUCCAAAAGUUCAUUCCAAAGACUGAAAGCUUUAUGUAGAUUUCCUUCUCGGUAAAGUGCAUCAACCAUCGAGCUGUAGACUACUUCAUCAGGCUUAAUACCCCUUGCCACCAUUUCCUCAAAUAGUGAAAACACCUUCAAUUUUUCUCCAAUUCUGUGAUA